CUCGUAGGCGGCCAACUAAGUCAGACGUGAAAUCCCUCGGCUCAACCGGGGAACUGCGUCUGAUACUGGAUGGCUUGAAUCCGGGAGAGGGAUGCGGAAUUCCAGGUGUAGCGGUGAAAUGCGUAGAUAUCUGGAGGAACACCGGUGGCGAAGGCGGCAUCCUGGACCGGUUUUGACGCUGAGGAGCGAAAGCCAGGGGAGCAAACGGGAUUAGAUACCCCGGUAGUCCUGGCCCUAAACGAUGAAUGCUUGGUGUGGCGGGUAUCGAUCCCUGCCGUGCCGAAGCUAACGCAUUAAGCAUUCCGCCUGGGGAGUACGGUCGCAAGGCUGAA
rnacentral:rRNA from 1 species